GACGAACGCUGGCGGCGUGCUUAACACAUGCAAGUCGAACGAUGAAGCCGGAGCUUGCUCUGGUGAAUUAGUGGCGAACGGGUGAGUAACACGUGAGUAACCUGCCCUUGACUCUGGGAUAACUGCGGGAAACUGUAGCUAAUACCGGAUACGACCCUCGGAGGCAUCUCCUGGGGGUGGAAAGAAUUUCGGUCAAGGAUGGACUCGCGGCCUAUCAGCUAGUUCGUGAGGUAAAGGCUCACCAAGGCGACGACGGGUAGCCGGCCUGGGGGGAUGACCGACCACUCCGGGACUGAGACCCAGCCCGGACACCUCCGGGAGCUAGCAGUGGGGAAAAUUGAGCAAUGGGCGCAGGCCUGAUGCAGCAAAGCCGCGUGAGGGAUGACGGCCUUCGGGUUGGAAACCUAUUUUAGCAGUGAAGAAGCGAAAGUGACGGUACCUGCAGAAAAAGCACCGGCUAACGACGUGCCAGCAGCCGCCGUAA
rnacentral:rRNA from 1 species